CAGUUAACUAUUAGCGUAAUCAAAUUUGAUUUCAUCUUCUGUUCCAAGAAGCCAAGGAAAGAGUUAUAAUUGAAACAUUGUAUGCAUUUGACCGUCAGCCAACUAACAGUCCAUCACUAAAAACUUUGAAUGCAACUCCUUAUAAAUGCUAAAUGUAUCUGCAUCCUGUCUUUCCAUGCUCACCACUCAUUCCCAAACUCAUCAAGUCCUCUACUGUUCAUCAAUCUCUUCCGUCUCUCUGCCUGUAAGAAAACCCCGGAAGAGAAAAAUGGUUUCCGAGUCUCUUGGCCAUCUCUUCCUUGUUUCUUUCCCAGCCCAAGGCCAUGUAAAUCCUUUACUUAGACUUGGAAAAAUUCUUGCCUCCAAAGGCUUCCUUGUCACCUUCUCCACUACUGAAACCAUUGGCAAACAGAUGAGAAAAGCCAGUGGCUUCAUAGAUAAGCUGACCCCGUUUGGUGAUGGCUUUAUCCGGUUUGAGUUCUUUGAAGAUGGAUGGACAGAGGACGAGGAUAGGCACCAAGACCUUGAUCAAUACUUACUUCAACUUGAGCUUGUUGGUAAACAAGUAAUUCCUCAAAUGAUCAAGAAAAAUGAAGAGCAAGGGCGGCCUGUUUGUUGCCUCAUAAACAACCCUUUCAUUCCUUGGGUUACAGAUGUGGCCACAAGUCUAGGUCUCCCUUCUGCAAUGCUUUGGGUUCAAUCCUGCGCUUGUUUUGCCUCAUAUUACCAUUUCUAUCACGGUACUGUACCUUUCCCUGAUGAGGAGCACCCCGAGAUAGAUGUCCAAUUACCAUGCAUGCCUCUCCUAAAACAUGAUGAAGUGCCUAGUUUCUUACAUCCUACAACUCCUUAUGCUAUCUUGAGGAGGGCUAUUUUAGGUCAGUACAAAAAUCUUGACAAGCCAUUUUGCAUCCUGAUGGAAACAUUCGAUGAGCUUGAACCAGAGCUUAUCAAGCACAUGUCCGAAAUCUUCCCCAUCAAGGCCGUUGGGCCACUAUUCAGAAAUCCCAAGGCACCACAGACAACGGUCCAUGGAGACUUGCUGAAGGCAGAUGACUGCAUCGAAUGGCUUGACACAAAGCCACCUUCAUCAGUUGUUUAUGUGUCUUUCGGUAGUGUCGUGCAAUUGAAGCAAGACCAAUGGAACGAGAUCGCUUAUGGGUUAUUGAAUUCGGGCGUCAACUUCUUGUUAGUUAUGAAACCAGCCCACAAAGAUGCAGGACAUGACCUCCUUGUUCUGCCAGAUGGGUUCUCGGAGAAAGCAGGAGACAGGGGCAAGGUGGUGCAAUGGAGUCCUCAAGAGAAGGUUUUAGCUCACCCGUCAGUUGCGUGCUUCGUAACACAUUGUGGGUGGAACUCUACUAUGGAAGCACUCACAUCAGGCAUGCCAGUGGCGGCUUUCCCUCAAUGGGGUGAUCAAGUAACUAAUGCAAAAUAUUUGGUCGACAUCCUUAAGGUUGGUGUGAGAAUGAGCCGCGGAGAAGCAGAGAACAAACUGAUUACUCGUGAUGAGAUAGAGAAAUGCUUGUUGGAGGCCACAGCGGGACCUAAGGCAAUGGAAAUGAAGGAGAAAGCAAUGAAAUGGAAGGAGGCAGCGGAGGCAGCAGUGGCUGAGGGUGGUUCCUCCGACUGGAAUAUACGAUAUUUUACGGACGAUAUUGUAAAAGCGAAUGAGUCUGAGAUUGCUGGGAAGUGCAUUGGUUCUAAUGAGUUUCCAGUGUCGGUAGUAGUGAAGUCCAACGAGAAAGUGGCUGAACUGGUGGGGUCAUCGGCAUGAGGAGAUUUGCUAUAUGUGCUGUGAACGUGGAACUGGUUUAAUCCAGUGCUGUUAGUAUGGUGAAAUUAAUUACUCUUGUUAUGUAGUUGUCUACUUUUUACUUCUUUUAAUUAGCUAUUAAUAACAUAUAGCCAAGUGCCAUAUAAAGGCCAUAUGUAUCAUUUUAAGGUAUUGUUGAGUUGUUGUUGUAGUGUAAUUUCAAAAGUAACAAUUGUACCUGAUUUCUUGUGUUUUUAAGGUAUCGAUCGACAAUGCCGCUGGUAUUGUGUUUGCUAAAAAAAAAUAUAUUUUUAAAGUUAUUUUUUCUAUAUUUUUAUAUGAUUUUGAUAUAAUAAUAUUAAUAAUAAAAUUUAAAAAAUAAAAAAUAAAUUAUUUUAAUAUAUUUUCAAGUAAAAAAUAUUUUGAAAAUCAACCAUUAUCACAUACCACUAAAUUUGAUUUUUUAUUAAAUUAAUUUUUUUAUAUUUUUGAAUUGUUUUGAUGUGCUGAUGUUAAAAAUAAAAUAUAUAUUAUUUUAAUGUAUUUCUGAACGAAAAACACUUUAAAAAACAACCACUAACACAAUAUUAAACAUUAGUGUAUUACAACAUAUACACCAUUUAUGCAUCUUUUUCUUCCUCACUAGUGUUUAAAUUAACAUUAUUAGCAAAGAAAAAAAAAUAGCAAACGAGCAUGUUUUUCAAAAUAAUUUAAUUCAUAAAAUAUUUUAAAUUUUAUUUUCUUGUAUUUAAGAAUUAUUAUGUUGCGGCUAUCUAGGUAGACUCAUCGUGCAACCAAAUUAAUCCAACCCAAAAUAAAGAGAGAUUUUGAUCAUUAUCUCUCUCUGUCUUUUCUUAAGGAAAUAUAUUGAUUCUCCCUCUAAUCUAGACUAAUGGCAAGAAUUUCUAUAUCAAUGUGAGUUUCCAAUAAAUUAUUUUAAGUAUUUUCAAAAUUAUAAAACAAUCUUUCAAUAGAAAAACAAAACAAUAUUCCAAACACAAAUAUAUAAUACAAAGUUUUCAUAUUGAGUAGCAUGAAAAAAAAUUCCAAUCUCAACCAAUCCUUAAUGUUUUGGAAUGCAUAAUUCACUGCUAUCAUUUAUUAACUUUAAUAUAAUUUAUUUAUAUAAAAAAAGUAUGAUUUUGUUUUCUAUAAAAAAAUAGUACUCUGCAAAUCACAAAUGACACACACAAGUUGAUCAGAACCAUUCACCAGCACAAAACACUAUUAGAUGUACACUAUUCACGUCUUCUGCAGAGUGAAGCAGACCUCGAACUCAUGUUCAAAACAGCUGUAAUAACUGGUAGCUGUUGAAGUGGCACCAUUUAACUGGUCUCUCGUUCUGCUUCAAAGGAUGGCCUCACUUACAGAUUUGAAACUGGAAGCCUGUCUUUUUUUUGGCUCUGAAAGGGAUUCUCUUGUCUGCUUUUGUAGGUCUGUAAUUUUUUGGGAGCUUCGGCUUCUCUCAUCAGGAUUCAAUUGGAUGUUGCUGGGAACUCCGAACAAUACAAAUAUCGUAUUGCUGAGUGGUGAAUAUCCCUUCUUAGCAUGACGUGCUGGAAAGCAUAUACUGGCUAGUGCAGAAUCUUUCAUAGACAAACCAGAAGUCAAGGAAUGAAGUGCACUCGCAAUAGUAACUAAUCUUCUUCAUUCAAUCGGUAUAACUUGUUGGUUACCCGAUGUCUUGGGUUUCUGAGUGUUGCAAAAUCAUUGAAAGCUACAGUUAACUAUUAGCGUAAUCAAAUUUGAUUUCAUCUUCUGUUCCAAGAAGCCAAGGAAAGAGUUAUAAUUGAAACAUUGUAUGCAUUUGACCGUCAGCCAACUAACAGUCCAUCACUAAAAACUUUGAAUGCAACUCCUUAUAAAUGCUAUAUGUAUCUGCAUCCUUUCUUUCCAUGCUCACCACUCCUUCCCAAACUCAUCAAGUCCUCUACUGUUCAUCAAUCUCUUCCGUCUCUCUGCCUGUAAGAAAACCCCGGAAGAGAAAAAUGGUUUCCGAGUCUCUUGGCCAUCUCUUCCUUGUUUCUUUCCCAGCCCAAGGCCAUGUAAAUCCUUUACUUAGACUUGGAAAAAUUCUUGCCUCCAAAGGCUUCCUUGUCACCUUCUCCACUGCAGAAACCACUGGCGAACAGAUGAGAAAAGCCAGUGGCAUCAUAGAUAAGCUGACCCCGUUUGGUGAUGGCUUUAUCCGGUUUGAAUUCUUUGUAGAUGGAUGGGAAGAGGACGAGCCUAGGCGCCAAGAC
rnacentral:lncRNA from 1 species